rnacentral:rRNA from 1 species
GGUUAAGUGACUAAGCGUACACGGUGGAUGCCUUGGCAGUCAGAGGCGAUGAAGGACGUAGUAACUUGCGAUAAGCGUAGAUGAGGCAGUAACAGCCACUUGAGUCUACGAUUUCCGAAUGGGGAAACCCACUGGCAUAAGCCAGUAUCAUUGAGUGAAUACAUAGCUCAAUGAAGCGAACCGGGAGAACUGAAACAUCUAAGUACCCCGAGGAAAAGAAAUCAACCGAGAUUCCGAAAGUAGCGGCGAGCGAAAUUGGAUUAGCCCUUAAGCUUUACAUGUGUUAGACGAACGGUCUGGAAAGUCCGACGAUACAGGGUGAUAGUCCCGUAGUUGUAGAUGCAUGUUCAGUGAAAUCGAGUAGGGCGGGACACGUGUUAUCCUGUCUGAAUAUGGGGGGACCAUCCUCCAAGGCUAAAUACUCCUGACUGACCGAUAGUGAACCAGUACCGUGAGGGAAAGGCGAAAAGAACCCCUGUGAGGGGAGUGAAAUAGAACCUGAAACCGUGUACGUACAAGCAGUAGGAGCACCUUCGUGGUGUGACUGCGUACCUUUUGUAUAAUGGGUCAGCGACUUAUAUUCAGUGGCAAGGUUAACCAUCUAGGGGAGCCGUAGGGAAACCGAGUCUUAACUGGGCGCCAUAGUCUCUGGAUAUAGACCCGAAACCGAGUGAUCUAGCCAUGGGCAGGUUGAAGGUUGAGUAACAUCAACUGGAGGACCGAACCGACUAAUGUUGAAAAAUUAGCGGAUGACUUGUGGCUAGGGGUGAAAGGCCAAUCAAACUCGGAGAUAGCUGGUUCUCCCCGAAAGCUAUUUAGGUAGCGCCUCGGACGAAUACUACUGGGGGUAGAGCACUGUUAAGGCUAGGGGGUCAUCCCGACUUACCAACCCUUUGCAAACUCCGAAUACCAGUAAGUACUAUCCGGGAGACACACGGCGGGUGCUAACGUCCGUCGUGGAGAGGGAAACAACCCAGACCGCCAGCUAAGGUCCCAAAUUACAGCUAAGUGGGAAACGAUGUGGGAAGGCUUAGACAGCUAGGAUGUUGGCUUAGAAGCAGCCAUCAUUUAAAGAAAGCGUAAUAGCUCACUAGUCGAGUCGGCCUGCGCGGAAGAUGUAACGGGGCUAAGUUGUAAACCGAAGCUGCGGCAAUGUUCUUUGAACAUUGGGUAGGGGAGCGUUCUGUAAGCCGUUGAAGGUGUGUUGUAAAGCAUGCUGGAGGUAUCAGAAGUGCGAAUGCUGACAUGAGUAACGACAAGGGGGGUGAAAAACCUCCCCGCCGGAAGACCAAGGGUUCCUGUCCAACGUUAAUCGGGGCAGGGUAAGUCGACCCCUAAGGCGAGGCCGAAAGGCGUAGUCGAUGGGAAACGGGUUAAUAUUCCCGUACUUCUUACAAUUGCGAUGGGGGGACGGAGAAGGCUAGGUGGGCCUGGCGACGGUUGUCC